rnacentral:lncRNA from 1 species
GUAUACUUAAAUACAUAGUGCCAGAUACUCUGGUUGUAAGACACUCAAAACCGAGACUGAGAAUCACGCGGCACGAUAUGGAUUGAUCAGGAUCAAUCGAGACAAUCUCUAAUCCCUCGACCUCAUUAGAAGAGUGAAUUUGUUGUAGGUAGCGUUUGGAACUUGUGAAUGGAAUCCGGGGAUACUGUACUCCCGAUAAUCCAUUUCCGUAUGUUGUGGGCGAAGAGAAUCGCUAAAAGCAUAAUCCGUGUUCUGUAGAAGUUGGGAAAAAUGAUUCUCCAUGGGUUGUAAAUAAAUAAAUUACAUUUUAAAUCCAUCCCAGGCUAAAAUUUCC